GCCCUGAUGGUCUAGCGGUAUGAUUCUCCCUUAGGGUUGUCUUGAGGCGUCUAAAUCUAGGGUGAAGUCCCAGUGCCUUGAGACAUCUUCUGGGAGAGGUCCCAGGUUCGAUCCCUGGUUAGGGCC